rnacentral:rRNA from 1 species
CUAGUUGGUAAGGUAACGGCUUACCAAGGCUACGAUGUUUAGGGGAUCUGAGAGGAUGACCCCCCACACUGGUACUGAGACACGGACCAGACUCCUACGGGAGGCAGCAGUAAGGAAUAUUGGUCAAUGGGCGGAAGCCUGAACCAGCCAUGCCGCGUGCAGGAAGACGGCCCUACGGGUUGUAAACUGCUUUUGUACCAGAAUAAACCUUUCUUCGUGAAGAAAGCUGAAUGUAUGGUAAGAAUAAGGAUCGGCUAACUCCGUGCCAGCAGCCGCGGUAAUACGGAGGAUCCAAGCGUUAUCCGGAUUUAUUGGGUUUAAAGGGUGCGUAGGUGGCUUAUUAAGUCAGGGGUGAAAGACGGUAGCUUAACUAUCGCAGUGCCUUUGAUACUGAUGAGCUUGAAUGAACUAGAGGUAGGCGGAAUGUGACAAGUAGCGGUGAAAUGCAUAGAUAUGUCACAGAACACCAAUUGCGAAGGCAGCUUACUAUGGUUAAAUUGACACUGAGGCACGAAAGCGUGGGGAUCAAACAGGAUUAGAUACCCUGGUAGUCCACGCCCUAAACGAUGAAUACUCGAUGUUGGCGAUAUACGGUCAGCGUCUAAGCGAAAGCGUUAAGUAUUCCACCUGGGGAGUACGCCCGCAAGGGUGAAACUCAAAGGAAUUGACG